AUACUUACCUGGACAGGGUUGUUGGGUGAUCAUGAAGACCCAUAACUUAGGUCGAUGGCCUUCAUUGCACGUUGGAGGAGUGUCGAUCUAAGGCAGGCCAAAAUGGUCGAGCCUAUGUCGUAAUUUGUGAUAGAGGGGGCUUGCGUUCGCGCAGCCCCUUA